UCAAUUUGUUGGCAUUUACACUGGCAUUUUCAAUUUUCCCCGUCAAAUUUGAAAGGGACAUUUUCCAUGAAAAUUACAGAAAAUUGUGGGGCAAUGCAUAUGUAUGUUGCAAAGAACUCUUUACAAGUAAGUAGUAGGAUACUUUUCCUCCGCCCUACAAAUUCAAGUAAUGCUUGUGGAGACGAGUCUCCCGCAUGUAGAUUUCUUGUUCCCGACUUAACUCCCCUGCGUAUAUUCUUCUUUAUGUCGUUGCUUCUGUCUGAUUACAUCAUUUUGCAUAUACUUUGAAACAAAAAAACGUUUCAAACGAAAAAAGUAAUUCAAGUUCAUCCAUUUAAUCUUGAGGAAAUCGUGAUAACUCACGAACUUUAUACAUCGCGAUGUUUGCAUUCAUAAAGUUAGGAAAAUUGAACCUAUACAUGUACGAUUAUUUGCUUCGGUGCAAACAUAAAGUGAAACUAAUAUAACGAAGUGUGAUUUUUUUUUUAAGAGUGCGUUUGGGCGGAAAUUUAGGGCAAAAAUCUUUAGUAUAUGAAUCCCAUAAUAUGGUUUGAAACUGCAGCUAAUGAAUUGUUACGUAAAAAGUAAGGCGAGUGGAAUUACAGAUUACUGCAAAUGAAGGAAUGGUAGAAUAACAUGGAUGAAUAAUCACCUUUCGAAGAUGGAACGCUUAAACUGACUGAAGGUUUCAAGGACUAUUAUCCCAAUUUUCAGAGCCGGUAAUUAUAAUACACCUCCAUUCUAGUGAAUUUUAAACUUACCAGUUAAUUUGAAGCAACACACUCAAGUUAUCCGUACGAAUGGGCUAAACUUAC
rnacentral:lncRNA from 1 species